CCCCUUGACAUGGCAGGAAUCCUGGAGAGAUCUGGGAGUGCUCGAAAGAGAACCUGCACACAGGUGCUGCAUGGCUGUCGUCAGCUCGUGUCGUGAGAUGUUGGGUUAAGUCCCGCAACGAGCGCAACCCUUGUCAUUAGUUGCUACGCAAGAGCACUCUAAUGAGACUGCCGGUGACAAACCGGAGGAAGGUGGGGAUGACGUCAAGUCCUCAUGGCCCUUAUGGGUAGGGCUUCACACGUCAUACAAUGGUACAUACAGAGGGCCGCCAACCCGCGAGGGGGAGCUAAUCCCAGAAAGUGUAUCGUAGUCCGGAUUGUAGUCUGCAACUCGACUACAUGAAGUUGGAAUCGCUAGUAAUCGCGGAUCAGCAUGUCGCGGUGAAUACGUUCCCGGGUCUUGUACACACCGCCCGUCACACCAUGGGAGCGGGUUUUACCAGAAGUAGGUAGCUUAACCGUAAGGAGGGCGCUUACCACGGUAGGAUUCGUGACUGGGGUGAAGUCGUAACAAGGUAGGCGUAGAUGA
rnacentral:rRNA from 1 species